rnacentral:lncRNA from 1 species
GAAGCACUGGCUUCAGCAGCAGAAGGCAGAAUCAUUGAUAGCAAGAAUCUUUUGAGCUCCUCAGAGCCAUGCAGCUCCUCACCCUUACCCUCUGCCACUGCCAUCAGCAAUGGGGAUUUCUCAGUCAUCUAUGAGAGAUUAUAGCUGUUUGGAUCAACACAGCCCCCUCCUCUUCAUCAUGAAAACUACCACUGCAUUAGUAAAAUUCUGAAGACACAAAUUAAUGACAAAGUCACGCAAAUGACUCAGCAUAGAGAAGCGGGACAGACAUAUAAACAAAGAGCUAUGUAGUCUGGGACACUCAAGCUCCUAUCCUUGCUCGUAGAAGAUCCAACUAUUUGCCCCACAAGCAAACACGUUUUUGGCUUGCUCUUCUUCCUGCCUGGAACGUUCACCUCCCUGAUUCUCACAUUGCUGGCCAAUUUCAUCCUUCAGGUCUCAGCUCAAAUACAGUAUCUUUAAGGAUGCCGGAGAUACAGGAGUGCUGGGAAGGCAAGACCAUGGUCCCUUUAAAUGAUACGGGAGUGCUGGGUAGAGGAAGGGUGUGGUCCCUGGCUAGGGCUCCACCCCCACCGACCUAGAUGAGGACCUGGCACUCCUGCCUGCACGCCCAAAUGUUGUAUUUCCCAAGACCAUCCUGGCCCACCACGGCCCCAUCCUGUGACUAUAAAAACCUGAGACUCUAGCAAGGCAAAGACCGAAACGACUGGACGUGUAGAGGAGCGGAUCAGCAGAAGAAGAUAGAGGCAGGGGGAUGUCAAAUGCAGCAUAUCAGCGUAGGAACACACAGGCCGUUGAAGCGAGAGAGGAGCACAUCAAUGAAAGAAGGCACAAGCAUCUGGAUGGCGAGAGGAUGUUGAGGGGAGCAUGGCAGCUGAAGAGCACACCGACAGGACACACGCCGGCACUGUCCCGGUGGGAGUGGGAUGAGGCGGAGUUUGGUGGGGGCAGUGGGAGGAGAGCCCUGGCCGUGGAGUGCCCCAACUCCAGGGGAAAACCAUCUCCCUUCUGGCUCCCCCAUCUGCUGAGAGCUACUUCCACUCAAUAAAAGCUUGCACUCAUUCUCCAAGCCCACAUGUGAUCCUAUUCUUUCGGUACACAAAGGCGAGAAACCCCGGGAUACAGAAAGCCCUCUGUCCUUGAGAUGAGGUAGAGGGUCUAAUUGAGCUGGUUAACACAAGCCUAUAGAUGGCACACUAAGAGAGCAUCCUGUAACACACGCCCACUGGGGCUUCAGCUGUAAACAUUCACCCCUAGACACUGUUGUAGGGUGGGAGCCCCACAGCCUGCCGUCUGUAUGCUCCUCUAGAGGUCUGAGCAGUGGGGCACUGGAGAGCCACACCCACAUCGCAUGCCCUGCCGGGGGACUACUGAACCUUUCCCGUUUCACUAGCAUAUACAAUAUAACCCUCUGGCCUAUCGCUUUAACACAUUUCCUCAGAGCGUUCAACAUCAUCUGUUAAAUACUUGUAUUAUAAUAUUUUAUCUCUUUAUUUCUUUUGCUUUAUAAAAUAAAUUGCUUAUCUUUUCGGUAAUCCCCUGUAUCCCUGAUGCUUCGAUCAAUGCCUAACAUAUAUUGAAUUAAUAUUAAUUGAUGAAAUAAAUGGAUAAACACACUCCUUCCUGAGUAUGAAUAUAUCUUAACUGUAUCACAUAACUUUUUUCACAUUCUUCCUUGCCUCAACGGUUUGCAUAUAUUUCACGUAGGUCACUUAUCACUAUCGGGAUUUAUGUAAUUUAAAAAUCUCCUCCAUUAAAUUGCAAAUUUCUUGGCAACUGGAUUUUCUUAUAUUCAUUUGUUAAAAUUUGCAUGCCUUUAAGACAUACAUAUACUAACUGCUCAAAUAAUAUUAUUUAAAUGAAUGGAUGUAAAUUAUACUAAGGGCAAGUUUAAGAAUUAUUAUUUCCUUUUUACCCAGAAGCUUAAAAACAUUUCAUUUUCUAAAAUUCUAUGAGAAGGCAUAUAUAUGAUUAUAGCACUGGCC